rnacentral:tRNA from 1 species
GCCUGGGUGGCUCAGUCGGUUAAGCGUCCGACUUCGGCUCAGGUCAUGAUCUCACAGAAUGUGGGUUCGAGCCCCUCGUCGGGCU